rnacentral:misc_RNA from 1 species
GGAAGGAUCAUUGCCGAACGGACGCGCGCCUCGCUGCCCUCCUCGCUUCCGCGAGUGGUCUGGCCGGCCGCGUCCUAUCGCACACCCAUGUGAACUCGUGAUCGUGACCCUGGACGGUGGCCGCCGCCGCGCGCGCCGCCGAUCCGGCUCCUUUCAUACAUUACAAACCACGCGAACAACCUCUUGACUGAGACAAACAGGGUCACGCCUAAAAACGCGACUCGACAAGACAUAACCUAUCACAACUUUUAACAACGGAUAUCUUGGCUCGCGCAUCGAUGAAGAACGCAGCGAAAUGCGAUAAGUAGUGUGAAUUGCAGAUCAAGCGAAUCAUCGAAGUUUUGAACGCAAGUUGCGGCGCACAGAUCUUCUGUGUGCCAUGCCUGCUUGAGUGUCUGUAACCAAACUCGAACCGAGUCCGAUUUCACCGCAUCAUUCAUCAGAGUGAUGAUGAUGACAGCGCGACUCGUGCUUCGGAUCUGGGCGCCUUCCGCGGUGCGCACGCACACACGAGCACACCCCGGUCGCCUCAAGUGCAGACGCCGUCCGACCCCACGUCGCGACAACACCAUAACGCGGUAAGGGAUCACAACAUUCCUCCUAACGUUACGGGACCGUCACACAUCCAAACGACGCGUGCUGGUAUCGGUAACAAAAACGGCGGCGAAGGAAACACCACCCGGCCGAUCGCGCGCUCACGCGCGCAGCGGUGCAGGGAAACACUCAACAUUUGACCUCAAGUCAGGUAAGAGGACCCGCUGGAUUUAAGCAUAUAACUAAGCGGAGGAAAAGAAACUAACAAGGAUUCCCUCAGUAACGGCGAGUGAAGCGGGAAGAGCUCAAAUUUUCAAUCUGUCCGCCACGCGGACCGAAUUGUAAUCUAGAGAGGUCAUGGCUGGGUUGCACGCCGUAUAAGUCAUCCAGGAACGGUGCGUCAUAGAGGGUGAGAACCCCGUACAUGACGGCGAUGCUUCCCUUACGCUAGGCCUUCCAAGAGUCGGGUUGCUUGGGAAUGCAGCUCUAAGCUGGAGGUAAACUCCUUCUAAAGCUAAAUAUCGGCGCGAGACCGAUAGCGAACAAGUACCGUGAGGGAAAGAUGAAAAGAACUUUGAAAAGAGAGUUAAAAAGUGCUUGAAAUUGUUAAAAGGGAAGGCGUUCGGCCCAGUGAUGUGGGCGUCGGACUCAGAAGCCGUGGUCGAUCCUCGGCGCGCGCGGGCACCGCAAGGGCCCCGUGCGCCGUUCGGGUUGGUCCGGUGACGUACUUCCGGCGCACGCAGGCCAGCAUCGAUUCGACCGGUCGGGACAAAGGCGUCAGCUAGGUAAGCCGGAGGGCAACCUUUUGGCCCAUGAGCGGCGCUGCUACCGACCGUUGGAUCGAGGCCUCGUGACGAGGAGUGGCGCGCGCCCGUUAGAUGUUCGGGCGAGGUACGCCGGUGGACCAGCGUUGGUAGCGGGCAGGAGCAGCAUGCUGACCCGGCCCGUCAUGUAUACCGGUGCUCGUUGCCGGCGCCUCGGCGCGCCGUGAUGCUGGCGAAAUGGACCCAACGCACCCGUCUUGAAACACGGACCAAGGAGUCUAACGUAUGUGCGAGCGGUUGAGUGGCAAACUCGAACGCGCAAUGAAAGUGAAGGUGGCGGGUACGCCACCGAGAUAGGAUCCGCAAGGUGCACUAUCGACCGAUCUGGAUUUUCUUGAAAGAUUUGAGUGAGAGCACAUCCGCUGGGACCCGAAAGAUGGUGAACUAUGCCUGGGUAGGGUGAAGCCAGAGGAAACUCUGGUGGAGGCUCGUAGCGAUUCUGACGUGCAAAUCGAUCGUCAAAUUUGGGCAUAGGGGCGAAAGACUAAUCGAACCAUCUAGUAGCUGGUUCCCUC